CAGCCACAUCACAUUGAGACACCAGUCCCUGUAUGACCACUGAAGUUAAGCAAUGUCAAGCCUGGUCAGUACCUAGAUGGGUGACAGCUUGGGAAUACCAGAUGCUGUAAG